rnacentral:rRNA from 1 species
GACGAACGCUGGCGGCGUGCUUAACACAUGCAAGUCGAACGGAAGGGCGCUGCUUUUGUGGGGUGCUCGAUUGGCGAACGGGUGAGUAACACGUGUGUAACCUGUCCUUGUCUUUGUGGUAACUUCAGGAAACUGGGGCUAAUACCGGGUAGGAGCUCCUGAUCCAUGUUGGGGAUUGGUAAGUUUCGGCGGUUGUGGCUGGUCUAGCUGCUUAUCGGCUUGUUGGUGUGGUAGUUGCUUACCAAGGUUUCGACGGGUAGCCGGCCUUAGAGGGGGGACAGCGACAAGGGGACUACGAGACGGCGCAGACGGCUACGGGCGGCAGUGGGGGGAAGUAUGGCGCAAUGGGGGGAAGUGUGUUGCGGCAACGCCGCGAGCGGGAAGACGUCUUUCGGGGGGUAAACAGAUUUGGCAGGUGACGAAGCGAGCGUGACGGUAAUGGGUAAAGAAGCACCGGCUAACUACGUG